rnacentral:misc_RNA from 1 species
GAUGAAGAACGUAGCGAAAUGCGAUAAGUAAUGUGAAUUGCAGAAUUCAGUGAAUCAUCGAAUCUUUGAACGCACCUUGCGCUCUUUGGUAUUCCGAAGAGCAUGCCUGUUUGAGUGUCAUGAAAAUAUCAACCUUGACUUGGGUUUUGUGCUCUAGUCUCGGCUUGGAAUUGGGUGCUUGCCGCUUUUACGAGCGGCUCACCUUAAAUGUAUUAGCUGGAUCUGUCUUUGAGACUUGGUUUGACUUGGCGUAAUAAGUAUUUCGCUAAGGACAUUCUUCGGAGUGGCCUCGUUUCUAGGACGCUUGUCCGCUUUCCAAUGCAAGUUCCACCUCGUGGACAUGACUUUUUAUUAUCUGGCCUCAAAUCAGGUAGGACUACCCGCUGAACUUAAGCAUAUCAAUAAGCGGAGGA